rnacentral:misc_RNA from 1 species
GAUGAAGAACGUAGCAAAAUGCGAUAAGUAAUGUGAAUUGCAGAAUUCAGUGAAUCAUCGAAUCUUUGAACGCACAUUGCGCCCGCUGGUAUUCCGGCGGGCAUGCCUGUUCGAUCGUCAUUUCAACCCUCAAGCCCCCGGGUUUGGUGUUGGGGAUCGGCUCUGCCCUUCUGGGCGGUGCCGCCCCCGAAAUACAUUGGCGGUCUCGCUGCAGCCUCCAUUGCGUAGUAGCUAACACCUCGCAACUGGAACGCGGCGCGGCCAUGCCGUAAAACCCCAACUUCUGAAUGUUGACCUCGGAUCAGGUAGGAAUACCCGCUGAACUUAAGCAUAUCAAUAAGCGGAGGA